GACGAACGCUGGCGGCGUGCUUAACACAUGCAAGUCGAACGGAACGGCCCUGCUUUUGUGGGGUGCUCUAGUUGCGAACGGGUGAGUAACACGUGAGUAACCUGCCCUUGACUUUGGGAUAACUUCAGGCAACUGGGGCUAAUACCGGCUAGGAGCUCCUGCUGCAUGGUGGGGGUUGGAAGGUUUCGGCGGUUGGGGAUGGACUCGCGGCGUAUCAGCUUGUUGGUUGGGUAGUGGCUUACCAAGGCUUUGACGGGUAGCCGGCCUGCUAGGGUGACCGGCCACAUUGGGACGGGGAUACGGCCCAGACUCCUACGGGAGGCAGCAGUGGGGAAUAGUGCACUAGGGGCGGAAGCCUGAUGCAGCAACGCCGCGUGCGGGAUGACGGCCUUCGGGUUGUAAACCGCUUUCGCCUGUGACGAAGCGUGAGUGACGGUAAUGGGUAAAGAAGCACCGGCUAACUACGUG
rnacentral:rRNA from 1 species